AGACGAGAUCCUUGUAUUUUUUUCCAAUCUGUCUCCGUAUCAAUGAAACUUUCAUUGUUUAAUAAUUAUUAAAGUCAUUAUUUAUGAUUAUAGUGUAAUCUUAUCUGAAUUUAGACAAAUUCUUGCAAUUGAACUUUUCAGUGUUAUCUUUAUCGUAGUUUGCAUUAUGACCUUGUCUUACGUUCCGUACAAAGCAGAAUAAAUAGUACAGGAGCACGUGCUAUCUGUGCCUAUUGUUCCGAUCAAAAUAAUUACCCUUGUGGUCAGAUUAUUUAAUUUCAAGUCAUCGAUUAUUAGCCCUUUAUAUUCCAAGUAACGACUGUUCUCUACUAAUACUGAGAAGAUAAUCAUGUUUGCCAUUGUAUACAAUUAAAAUAUAGUGCAUACUGCAGUAAUACACUGUACACAAGAUCUCAAUCUUAUAUGGAAUAACUUUUUAAAACAUAUUCCAAUAACUGUAAUAAUUAUAUUCUGGUUACGUUAGCCUUCAAGUUUGCCGGAUCACAAUCCUCUGUUUCGAGAAGAGAGAUAGUGAUAAGACUUAAAUGUUCUCUAUUGCAGUCAAACCCAAAAUUUUAAGGAUUGAUUUUCUUAUCGUAUUAAUGCUUUGAUUUCUGUUCCACGUUUAUUAGUACUUUAGCUGAAUAGAAAGGCCUAUCUUGAAGCCGAAAUUUGAACAGUAUUGAGGUAGAAUGUCCAACUCCGAUUCGAAAGUGGAGCAAGCAUUAGAACUUCUUGGAUUCUUUCUCUUCGAUAAGAUUUACUUGUGAAGGGAGAAUCGUGAUUGGAUAUCGUGAAUUUCCCCCCGAAAAGAUAUAGUCUAAAAUGACUUAAACAGUAAAUUAUAACAAGACAUUCUUUUCCUAUCGGAUAAUAUUUCUUUAUUGCAUUUAAUAGUCUCGAGGUAUAUGCUAUAAAAAGAUCUUUCCCUAUUGUUUCCUGUCUAAGAACACCGCUGACUGCAAUAGUCGUAAGUAAAAAUGAUCUAUUCAUCAAAUAUUCAGCAAAUCUUCCAAUACCAAUCAAAGCGCAUUUUAGAAGUACAAACUAUAUAUCUGAACAAAAUCAACCCAUGAUUUCCGAACCGUGAUAUGGUAUCACCGAUUUAUACUAAUAUAUGUCAAAAACAACAAUGGCAUUAUUGUCGCAAAAUGGAAGUUUGAUAUUGGCGAUUGAAAAAAUCGUAAAUGCAUAAGAGGAUUUACUAACUUUGUGUUUCUAUAAAAGAAUAUCGAUAAAAGAACUGAACAUAGUGAUAAACUACCUUAUAUACGAAAACAUUCCAAAAACUUGAUUUAAUCAAUAUUAUUCAUAUAUAUUAUCACUAAAAUACUCUGUUUGGAUUUAAAGAAAUGAAAAGAAAAUUUAGCCAAAUGGAUCUGCAGAGGUUUAAUGUACGUGUUUCAUGGAUACGACAAUAACGAGGAAAGUUUUGCUACAAGACAUAAUGAUAAACGACGAGCAGGGAACAGAAAAAAAUACGAAUUAUCCAAAACGGCAUAAUUUCUCAUUAUCAUUUUGAGAUAUUAAAGAUUCAAUAAGAACAUUCGAUUGCAGCGAUACAUAUCCUGUUGAGCGAUGGAUAUUCGACUUCGAAGAUACUAUAGUUUUAUUCAAAUGUAAUGAAAUGUAAAAAUUAAUAUUUGCUAAAUGAUUCCUGAAAGAAUUUGCCAAUAUGUAUAUUCAAAGUGAAGGUAUUGUAAAAAGUUGGAGAGAAGUAAAGGAAACGGAAAAAGAAAAAAUUAAUAUCCAGUCCGGAUAUUAAUUCAAUCGAAUAUUUGUGGAACUUGAUUGAGAUAAAAAUGAUGAAAAAAUUGGUGCAUAACAAACAACGACGCCUUACAAAUAUAAUUAAGAUCAAAGGAGGAGCAACUAAUUAUUAAUAUAUAAUAAGAUAUAAAUAAUACCCACCAUUCGAACAAUUUUGUGACCUGUUUAUAGUAGAUUAUUCGAUUGAGUUAAAAUUUUACAUAUAUUGUGUCUGACAGAAGUUACAGUAUUACCUUCUAAAGAACUUAAGUCAUACAUAUUCCUCUUAUUUAAAAUUUUAAUUGUAUAUGUUUGGACACUUUCAUAACUGCAAGUAUAUAGCAUCUCACCGGAAAAUGAAAUGUUAAGAUAAAAUAUAACAAAUGCAGAUGGUAAGAUCAAUAAUCUAAUAUAUACAGUAGAAUUACAUUUAUGUGGACCCCGUUUAUUUAAACUGAUGUUAUCACAAUGUCCGAUUUACUAACUAUAUAUCUGCACUGCUAUUAUUCUGUUCGAGACUACGCGACAUAUCACUUAUACGAAUUACCGUUUUUGCCUUAGUAUUUAAAUUAAUAGCAGUUGAAUUACAGCCACUUAUAUCCUAAACGUUAUGCAUUUAGAAAUAUUCUCGUUAUAAUGUUUUCUGAUAAUUUAGAUAAAAAGAGGAAAAGAGUGGUGCUUAAUUAUUAAUGAUAAAUAUAAAAUACUUGAAUACUUAAAAACAGUGAGACAGCAGAUUCUUUGUCUCGAGAAUAUAAUAUUAAUAGAUUUACUAUAUACACUACCAAAGGAACGAAGAUAAAAUAUUAAAAUUUAAUACUACAGUAAAUGUUAACAAUGUAUGCAACAACAAAAACAAAGUUAUUUUAACUGCUGAAAAUAAAUUGAAAAAAGCAGUAUAUUUGUACUUCUUACAACAACGUGUCAUUGAUACGCCAAUUAAUAGAACUUUUGUAUGAAAGGAUGUUACAAGUAAACUCAAGAAUGAAAAAAGACAUUAAUUUCAGUCAAUAAUGCUUUGAUGGCAAAAUUUCAAAAACCUUCAUAGCACACAAUUUUAAUAUUCAGGGAGAAAAUAGAUGUCCAAAGAAAAGAAAAUUUUAAAACAGAAUUAGAAAACUUUAAAAAGUACAUUCGGUGUAUAAUAUAUCAAAAGGAAAAUGCAGGUAACUGAUGAAAAUGACAAAAAUUUUAAUAUUAUUGAUAAUAAUGAAAUAAUAUCUGAAGUUAUAGGCAAUAAACCUACAUUGACAAAAUGUACGAGAUGAGAAUGAGAUAGCAACAAAGAUAAAAAAUUAGCUACUAAUAUUACUGAUACAUUGAAAAAUGAAAAUAAUAUAAAGUGAUUUGAAGCACAAUAAGAAGCAGAUAUGGAAAAUAUGUAGGGUCUUCAUAACUUUAAAAAUUUGAUUGUUAUGAAAUCUUUAAAUACAUUAGAUUAAUAAUAAUAAAUUAUUAACUAUAUAUAUAAUAAUAUGUUAUUAACCCUUUGCACCCUGUUGUCGCCGAUAAUGAUUUGAAAUAUAAACUUCAAAUCUAUUAUAGCUGCUA